CAGCCGCCGCGGUAAUACGGAGGGGGCUAGCGUUGUUCGGAAUUACUGGGCGUAAAGCGCACGUAGGCGGCUUGGUAAGUUAGAGGUGAAAGCCCGGGGCUCAACCCCGGAAUUGCCUUUAAGACUGCCGAGCUAGUAGGUGAGAGAGGUGAGUGGAAUUCCGAGUGUAGAGGUGAAAUUCGUAGAUAUUCGGAAGAACACCAGUGGCGAAGGCGGCUCACUGGCUCAUUCUAGACGCUGAGGUGCGAAAGCGUUGGGAGCAAACAGGAUUAGAUACCCGCGUAGUCCCUGUCUCUUAUAC
rnacentral:rRNA from 1 species